UGAGGAACAUGACUUUCGGCGGGGGAUAGCCGGCCCAACGGCCGGGUAAUACCGCGUACGACCUUUUGGGGACAUCCCCGAUUGGUGAAAGCAGCAAUGGGCCGAAAGAGUGCCUCGCGGCCUAUCAGCUAGUUGGUGGGGUAAUGGCUCACCAAGGCGACGACGGGUAGCUGGUCUGAGAGGAUGGCCAGCCACAUUGGGACUGAGACACGGCCCAGACUCCUACGGGAGGCAG
rnacentral:rRNA from 1 species